rnacentral:rRNA from 1 species
CAAUAGCGUAUAUUUAAGUUGUUGCAGUUAAAAAGCUCGUAGUUGGAUUUCUGGUGGGAGCGGCCGGUCCGCCGUAAGGUGUGUACUUGGUUGUCUCCUGUCAUCCUUGUGGGAACUGCUCUGGCAUUAAGUUGUCGGGGUUAGGGAACACAUCGUUUACUGUGAAAAAAUUAGAGUGUUUAAAGCAGGCUUAUGCCGUUGAAUACAUUAGCAUGGAAUAAUAAGAUAGGACUUUGGCGUCUAUUUUGUUGGUUUGCACACCAAGGUAAUGAUUAAUAGGGAUAGUUGGGGGUAUUCGUAUUUAAUUGUCAGAGGUGAAAUUCUUGGAUUUAUGAAAGACGAACUUCUGCGAAAGCAUUUACCAAAGAUGUUUUCAUUAA